UGGGGAAUAUUGGACAAUGGGCGAAAGCCUGAUCCAGCCAUGCCGCGUGUGUGAAGAAGGUCUUCGGAUUGUAAAGCACUUUAAGUUGGGAGGAAGGGCAGUUACCUAAUACGUAUCUGUUUUGACGUUACCGACAGAAUAAGCACCGGCUAACUCUGUGCCAGCAGCCGCGGUAAUACAGAGGGUGCAAGCGUUAAUCGGAAUUACUGGGCGUAAAGCGUGCGCAGGCGGUUUUGUAAGUCUGUCGUGAAAGCCCCGGGCUCAACCUGGGAAAUGCGUUUGAUACUGUCGAGCUAGAGUGUGGAAGGGGCGAUUGGAAUUCCGUGUGUAGCGGUGAAAUGCGUAGAUAUACGGAGGAACACCAGAGGCGAAGGCGGAUCGCUGGGCCAACACUGACGCUGAGACGCGAAAGCUAGGGUAGCAAACGGGAUUAGAUACCCAUGUAGUCCCUGAGCGGGCUGGCAAGGCGCAU
rnacentral:rRNA from 1 species